GAUGAACGCUGGCGGCGUGCCUAAUACAUGCAAGUCGAGCGAACAGAUGAGGAGCUUGCUCCUCUGACGUUAGCGGCGUACGGGUGAGUAACACGUGGAUAACCUACCUAUAAGACUGGGAUAACUUCGGGAAACCGGAGCUAAUACCGGAUAAUAUAUUGAACCGCAUGGUUCAAUAGUGAAAGACGGUUUUGCUGUCACUUAUAGAUGGAUCCGCGCCGCAUUAGCUAGUUGGUAAGGUAACGGCUUACCAAGGCAACGAUGCGUAGCCGACCUGAGAGGGUGAUCGGCCACACUGGAACUGAGACACGGUCCAGACUCCUACGGGAGGCAGCAGUAGGGAAUCUUCCGCAAUGGGCGAAAGCUUGACGGAGCAACGCCGCGUGAGUGAUGAAGGUCUUCGGAUCGUAAAACUCUGUUAUUAGGGAAGAACAAAUGUGUAAGUAACUAUGCACGUCUUGACGGUACCUAAUCAGAAAGCCACGGCUAACUACGUG
rnacentral:rRNA from 1 species